rnacentral:piRNA from 1 species
UUCCUGUGGUCAUAGGAAGCAUGAUCAGGG